rnacentral:lncRNA from 1 species
GAUUUUUGAAAUGUAUUUUAAAGAGCAUUCUGUGCCUACUCCUAGUUCUUCUUUGCCAUGGACAAAAUGAUCAAAACCAGCUGCUCCGUGGAGUUCUUCAUUGAAAGGAAGAGAGAGGUGGAGUUGGCAGUGAAGCGGGAUCUGCAGACACACUUCAGCAUCAAGCUGACUUAUCACUCCUCUGGAAACGGUUAACAUGCCUGGUCCAGCCACCCGUCAUGUGGAUGUGAUGUGCCUCUCAGCAGUUCUGAAGAUGACAGAAUUCACUUGCAGAUCUAAAAGAGACAAACAGAAGCUGGAAAUUGUACAUAGAGUUGAUAGGAAAACCACCUGAUUACAAAUCACUUAUCGGAAAUGCUAUGUGGAGAAGAAUUAGAAGACAUGGUCACUGAGCAGGAAGAGACAUGACUCUGCCAAGGUAUUAUUGGAAAGGUUGGAGGUGAUCUACUAUAUGGAAGCAUCUCUGAAGUCUAGACAUAAAUCAUCACAGUUCUAGAAAAAGUGGAAGAGAAAACACACCUUUGUAAAAGGACUGGAACAUAGGAAAGUGAUUGAGUUUGAAACACCAACAAAACCAUAUAGGGUGACGGACAGAAACCAGAUUAUAAGGUGUUAAGGAGGGAGGAAGAAAAGACAAAUCAAGAAAACCCCAGGCCCCACCAGCAGAGCAGCAGAGCAGCAGAGUGGCAGAGUGGCAGAGAAGGAGAGAAGCAGCAGCCAGAUGUUGGAGAGAAGCAGCUUGACUUCAGAGGGACAACUUGGUAGCGGGACCUCGGAGAAGAGUUUGGCCAGGGAUGCCCAAACUCCAGGGGAAGACCACCUUCCCACUCCAUCCCCUUUCCAGCUCCCCAUUCCAUUGAGAGCCACU